rnacentral:rRNA from 1 species
UGGGGAAUUUUGGUCAAUGGGCGCAAGCCUGAUCCAGCAAUGCCGCGUGCAGGAUGAAGGCCUUCGGGUUGUAAACUGCUUUUGUACGGAACGAAAAGGCUCUGGUUAAUACCUGGGGCUCAUGACGGUACCGUAAGAAUAAGCACCGGCUAACUCCGUGCCAGCAGCCGCGGUAAUACGGAGGGUGCAAACGUUGCUCGGAAUCAUUGGGCGUAAAGCGCACGUAGGCGGCGAAGCAAGUCGGGUGUGAAAGCCCUGGGCUCAACCUGGGAACUGCAUUUGUGACUGUAUAGCUAGAGUACGGCAGAGGGGGAUGGAAUUCCGCGUGUAGCAGUGAAAUGCGUAGAUAUGCGGAGGAACACCGAUGGCGAAGGCAAUCCCCUGGGCCUGUACUGACGCUCAUGCACGAAAGCGUGGGGAGCAAACA